AUUUAAAUAGCUUAAUUAGAGCAUAAUAUUGAAGAUAUUAAGGUGAUUAGAUAAAAUCUUUAGAUA
rnacentral:tRNA from 1 species